GUAUUCGUGAACUUGGUUGUGCGCUGCAUAUGCUAAUAAGGUCUGCGCGCUUUAUUCUAAUAAUGUAGUUAGUUCUCCACGAAUUCGUAUGGAUUCGUAUAUCGUCUUAAGAUUUAUAAAUAAACGACGUUUUCAGGCAAAUAUUCGCAAGUUGCAAAAAUUUGUUCUGGAGACGGACACGUACUAAAAAAGUUGACAAAAAAAAUGAAAAAAAAAGAAGAAAAACUACGACGCUGCCUCGCAGAUUAGGCGUGCGCAC